UACGUAGGUGGCAAGCGUUGUUCGGAAUUAUUGGGCGUAAAGAGCGUGUAGGCGGCUAGGUAGGUCCGUUGUGAAAACUCGAGGCUCAACCUCGAGACGCCGGUGGAAACCAUCUAGCUAGAGUCCGGAAGAGGAGAGUGGAAUUCCUGGUGUAGCGGUGAAAUGCGCAGAUAUCAGGAAGAACACCCGUGGCGAAGGCGGCUCUCUGGUACGUGACUGACGCUGAGACGCGAAAGCGUGGGGAGCGAACAGG
rnacentral:rRNA from 1 species